ACUGUUACGUAACAGCUCAGAUCUCCACGAUGCUUGGGCAGGCAAAGAUGUGCAUGUACUGUUGUCCAAAAUUGGACCAUACAAGAUAUUCUACUGGGACAUAAAGAAGACUGGUCCUCACCAGCAGCUUGAGAGCGAGGUAAUUAAUGCUUUCUUAAGGUUGCUGGUCAUUGAGAACAAUAAGGUCAACAUGAGUAAGGCAGUCAUGAUUGACUCUUAUGAAAUGACAGCAAUCUGGAUGGGGAGGACAUCCAAAGUUAAAAUGAGUCCAAUGGAUUUCCAAACAGUUUUGGGCAUUGUUAAUGUGCAUUACCACUGGAUGCUGAUGGUGAUCUCUCCGCAUGAGAAAAAG